UACAGAGGUCCCAAGCGUUGUUCGGAUUCACUGGGCGUAAAGGGUGCGUAGGUGGCCAGGUAAGUUUGGUGUGAAAGCUCGGAGCUUAACUCCGAAAAGUCAUUGAAUACUAUCUGGCUGGAGGGUCGGAGGGGAGACUGGAAUUCUCGGUGUAGCAGUGAAAUGCGUAGAUAUCGAGAGGAACACCAGUGGCGAAGGCGCCUAUCUGGCUGACAACUGACGCUGAGACUCGAAAGCAUGGGGAGCAAACAGG
rnacentral:rRNA from 1 species